rnacentral:lncRNA from 1 species
UCAAGAAGUUAAUUGAUUUGGGACCAAAUGUUGAUCAGAGGGUUCAAGGUUUCAAGAUUAUUCUAACACUUAGGGAGAUGAAGAUCUAGGCGGAAAUUAAUGGGGAUUUGUGACAGAGUUGCCAAAACCAUUGUUUAAGUAGUCAAAUUUGAGGAAUGAUUAAUUACUCUACAGCUCGAUUAGAUGAGGAAGAACCUCAAAGGCCAGUUUUGGAAACAGAUUUGUGAAGAAGAAACUUAAUAAUUCAGAUUCGAGUUUCUCCUCAUCUGGUUCAACAAUUACUUCUUUAAACAAGAUAGGGGAUCAAGUUCUGUGAUGCUACAACUGAAGAGACCAGUUUUAAAACGGAAUAACUAUUUCAUGAUGAUGAACGUAGAUGUCAAGAGAUCAAUAAUGCUGCAUUUGAGACAAAAGUUGAAGUCAAAGUCAAAGUCAGCAACUAGAGAAACAAUUGUUUACCAUUUAGCCUUCAUGCCUUGUGGUCUCCCCUCAAUCCUCUGCCAAAGAUAGGAAAGAGGUAAAAAUUUGACAGGUUAUCCAGUAGAUGUCGAGAACAGGACUGGUCAAAAUGGUCAAAAGUCUGUGAUUCUUUCUGUUGAUAAUGGGUGAGAAACAAAUAUCGUUUGGUUAAUGGGUACAAAUGCUUGAUCAAGACCGUUGUGUAGUCUCGCUUUUAAUGGUCAAAAGUUCCAAAUAUCGAACCUUUGCAGUUUUCUAUGUCAUGCGAUGAGGGUCUCCUCUGAAUAGGUUGGAUUCUCCCUUAUGCUUAUAUUCCUCCAUAUUGCAAUCCAUUUUCAGGUUAUGCAGCAAAUAUGAUACAUUAGUGGAACGGCUUCUUCAUGAGGUGAUUAAUGAGAAGUUUUGGCAGCAUCUAGAAGAAAAAGAAGUAGAAAUCAGUGAAGAAACAUAAAAUGUCGACGAUCAGCGUUCCGGCACAUGAUAUCUCCGUCUCCUCUGAUGGCGUCGAACAACUCCGUAAAGCCUUCUCAGCGUUGAUGUGGUCGCCGGACUGAUUAUUCACCGGGUUGAAGGAUGUCAGUUCAUUACCUGCAACCUUCCCUGCAGCCAUGAUGGUA